UUUCUUAAUACAUCAUCAUAUACAUGUGACAUACGGGCCUAAUAGGCCAACAUAAUCCUUUAUAAAGUCAAAACAUAGGACGACAAGGCCGUACAAUCUUUUAUGUACACGACACAUGUCUACAAGCCUCUAAGAAUACAUAAAUGCCAUAAAGGUCGGGACAGAGUCCUGCCAUACCAAACAAUACACGUCUAAAUUAUACUAACCAAACAAGCAACUCCAAAGCAAAUGGAGUGCACCAACAUCUUCUGCUGAGCUGAUAGCCUACUUGGAGGGCUCUCGACCUGUCUAGCGGGACCUACGGGCAUGAAACGCAGCGUCCCCAGGCAAAGGGACAUCAAUACGAAUAAUCUACCGAGUAUGUAAGGCACAUAAAUAAAUACAUAAGAGACAUGGAAGACAUAUAAAGUACAUGACUCAACCUGGAAGUCUGAAUAACUUUGUAAAUAAUAAAUUACUUCUAACGUCAUGCAUAUGCGUAUGAAUGACAUGUCAUGCAUAGGUACAUGUUUCAUAACAUCAUCAGCCUCUGAGGGCAUCCCAUCAUAUCAUAUCGGCCACUGUGGACAAAAUCAUCAUUGUAUACUAGCUGAUCAGGUGGUAGUGCAUAUAUAAUGCCAUAACACUUCCCAUAUCCCAUAUACAUAUAUAUAUACACAUAUAUAUAUGCGUAUAUAAUGCCAUUUGAGUACAUACAUAUAUAUGCGUAUAUAAUGUCGUUUGGAUCAUAUUUCAGCCACUGUGGGCAACAUCAUCAUCAUAUACCAGCUGAUCAGAUGGUGGUGCGUAUAUAACGCCGUAACCUUUUUCCAUAUCCCUUAUACAUAUAUUUAUAUAUAUACUCGUAUAUAAUGCCAUAUAGUCAUGGAUCAAUGCACAUGAAUGCAAUGCAUGAAAAGUACGUAAAUAAAAUCAUUCGGAAUAUCAUAAGGCCAUUUUUCCUCUUGAGCAAUAUCAUAAAGUGACAUCUUUUCAACUUUCGUAUUUUUCUAAGACCCCUGAACAAAUGAUAAAAUAUUAUGACACAUGGAAAUUAAAGAACAUAGAUAUUUCUAUUACUUCUAUGAGUAGAGUCACUUAUGAAAUUUGUGCAUUUGCACGUUUCGUUCAUAUCGUAUGGGUCAUGCCAAAAGAAAGAAGAGAUAGCUUUAACAUACCUGUAUUAAAGAAAAAUCUGUAUGAUAUUCUUGAGAAAGGUUGCAUCUUUAAAAUUAGCUUGUGUGAUCACAUCAAAAGAGUUCCAGGCUUCCAGCUUCUACUUUAUACUGAUAUAUUAGCAUCAGAUAAAGAUGCUAACAUUUUCUAUGCUUGACCAACAAAACUUACAAUUCGAAGUUAUAUUACCAGAGUUAGGAACACAUAAUACCAAUCCAAACCAGCAAGAUUUUCAAUAGCUUAAAAUCAAUUUAAAAGACUUUUUCGGGACAUGUAAAACUCAAUUUAAGACUAGCUGAAGGAAGAUAAAAGGCCAACGUUGA
rnacentral:lncRNA from 1 species